rnacentral:lncRNA from 9 species
GGAAGAACUUCACCCUGAGUCAUUAAGUUAAUGGCUUGGCUGUCACAUUGUGAUUUAUCGGUGAAAUUGCUCUUUUGAGUGCAGAGCAUAUAAAAGGAUAGUCAGUUUAUAAUCCAUGCUGUUGCAUAGUGGCAAUGGUCACGGAUAAGACGGACACUUCAGGAAGCAAGAUUACCACACAGCACGUCCUGCGGGUCAGGCGAAAUAUGGAGAAGGUAACACGCUUGUUUCCUACUGAAAUGUGUGUCUUGUGUCUAGAUUUCCUUCAGUUACCAAAGUCUGACCAUUUUAAUUCCUCGGAUGUAAUAGAAAAGGUCUGCCUGGAACACAAGUCAGAUUUGUUAAAAUCACUUCUAAAGGGUACCUUUAAGUCAGGUGGCAUUUGGAUAUAUAAAUAAUUGCUUGAGCAUGCAUUUGCCAAAUAGAUUUAUUAUUAUUGCCAUAUUAAGAGCGAGUCUUCCUUUUGUGGAGAGGGAUAUAAUAGUCUCAUUCAAGCCCAAUUCUAUUGAACACAACAUUUUUUUUAACUGGCUCCUCUUACUUGGAUUCCUUGUUUAAGUGUGCUAAGUAGCCUUCUAAGAUGGUCCCCAACUAUUCCCAAGUCCUGGUAUGCGGGUCCUUAUGUAACCCUGUCUUCCUGAGUGUGCGCUUGGCUUAGUGACUGGCUUCUAACAAACAGAAUAUGGCAAUUGUCGUGGGAUAUCACUUCUGAGAGUAGAUUAUAAAGACUGACUUCCAUCUAGCUGCUGCUCUCUGGCUAUCUCACUGCUGCCAUGUUGUGAGCAGCCUAAUGGAGAGGCCCUGUGGGGCAAGGGGGUGAAGGUGGGCAGCCUCUGGCCAACAGCCCACAAGUCAUAAGAGGCCCUGAAUCAAACAUGCAAUGUGCAAGGAACUAAGUCCUACCAACAACCACAGAAUAAGACUGGAAGUAUAUCUAGCCCCAGCUGAACCUUGAGAUGACAAACACUUUGACUACAGUCUGUGAGAGACUCUGAGCUGAAGAACCCACCCAUGUCCAGAUUUGCAACUCACAUAAGUGAUGAGAUAAUCAAUGUAUGUUGUUUUAAGCUGUUAAUUUCAGGGUGAUUUGGUAUACAGCAACAAAUAACUAGCAUAUAGUAAAGAACCAACCUUCCCC